rnacentral:rRNA from 1 species
UACAGAGGGAGCUAGCGUUGUUCGGAAUUACUGGGCGUAAAGCGCACGUAGGCGGCUUUUUAAGUCAGGGGUGAAAUCCCGGGGCUCAACCCCGGAACUGCCCUUGAAACUGGAAAGCUAGAAUCUUGGAGAGGCGAGUGGAAUUCCGAGUGUAGAGGUGAAAUUCGUAGAUAUUCGGAAGAACACCAGUGGCGAAGGCGACUCGCUGGACAAGUAUUGACGCUGAGGUGCGAAAGCGUGGGGAGCAAACAGG